rnacentral:lncRNA from 1 species
AUAACCUCUUGGUUUUUCCCAUGUGAACUCUGGUAUUAGGUAAAAGGACUAUUUUUAUAACAAACUAUCAAAAACAUACAGCUGAAUACUGCUUUAAAAUAAGCAUCACCUCGGAGGUUAAGCACUUAAUAAAUGUGGCUGCUGUCAUGAACAUUGUUGCCCCUUCUGUUUUGGAAUUACAGUUUGACUCAUGCACAUGAACUUUACAGCUUUCUCUAAGCACAGUGCCCAAGAUGAGUACCAGUGUCAUUCAGGAACUUUUGUAGGAAUGACUUGGCUGCAACCCAAAAUCGAAUCUUCAAGUGAUGACGAUAUUCCUGGGACAGUGAUGCAGAUUUUGCAGACAGUUCAGCCUUGGAGCCAUACUUACCUAUGACUCUGGGGACUUUUAUAAACAGUCUUGCCACUGCCGAAGGAGGCAAACAUUUAUAAAGAAAAGAGGAGAGGUUUGCUGUUUGCUGAAUAGAGGAGACGGAGGAGAGGUUGAACCAGCACUUACUUCCUAAUCCCAGACCUGACUGUAUUCCCUUUUCUUCCUUCAAAUAUGUCUUAAUGCUGUUUCCUAAAUUCUCAGGAGUGGUCUCAAGUCUCUUUGUGAAAUACCAGAUUUUUUUUUUUUUUGAGGGGGAUGAUGGGGUCGUCAAAACAGUUGUUGGUCCUAUAUGGAACUCUUUUAAGUGUGAGGAAUUGAUGACUGUAGGAAGUAUGGAAUCUGAAGUUAGAUUACCUUUUCCUGAAGUAGUGGUGAUUAAAGAGUAAAUUAAUAAAAUAGUUUAAACAUAUUUAUUAAAUGCCACAUUUUCCUGGUCGUUGUUGCAAAUGCUCUUCAUCUGGGAAUCUUCUUUGCUUUCAUUUAAUGACGACUUGCUGAGGUUGUCGCUGUGUAAAUCACGGUGCAAGAGCUAAAAACUGGAAAGGAGAAAGAGCCGAAGGCACCCCGUGGUUUCUUGAUAGUACUCGGCAUUUGUUUUAUGUUUUGUAAUUGUCAAACUCCAUUUACCUCUUCUUAUUUGCUUCUUAGAAUAACCAGGUACACAGGCUAGAUAUUAUUAUUCUUAAUAAGUAAUGAUAAAUAGACCAGAUUAAGAGACUUAUAUGAGCUCAUAAUUACUAAGUGUGGCACUAGGGGUAAAAUGAAGAUUUUUUUUUAAAAAAAUACACUCUCUUGGAUAAGUAAUCAGAUCCUGCUGUACAGCACAGGGAACUAUAUCUAGUCACUUGUGAUGCAACACAAGGAUAACCUGAGCAAAAGAAUGUACAUAUGUGUGUGUGGCUGGGUCACUUUGCUGUACAGCAGAGAUGACAGAACACUGCAAAUCAAAUAUAAUGAUAAUAGUAAAAAACUGAUUCAAACUGACACGCCCAGAAAUUUUUUUUUGAGAUUGGAAUUUAGGGUGGAUCUUGAAAAAGAUCAAUGAAAAUGAGAAAAUCUAGCAAUAGUCUAAACUAUAACUGAAGAUUUGUUUUGCUGCCUUAGAAGCUGUAUAUGGGGGCCUGUUGGUAAAAAUUCCUGGCAAGAUGGAUUGUGUUAGGUCAUUGAUUUUCAGCAGGGGAUGAUACUUGGUGAUGUCUGGAGAUGUGUUUGGUUGUCACGACUGGAGAGGGGCGGGGGGGCUGCUGGUAUCUGGUUUCUAGGGGCCAAAGUGUUCCCCAGUACUGUAUAAUUCACAGGACAGUCCCACAUAAAUACUUUUCUGGUCCAAAAUGUCAGUAGUGCUGAGGGUAUGAAAUCCUGAGCUAGAUUGUGGAGGGCCAAAAACAUCAAUUCAAGGAGUUAGAACUUAACCCUCUAUGCAUUAGGGAGAUGUUGGAUUUGGGGGGGGGUUGUUUUAAGGAGGGAGAGGCUUCCACUACCCUGUGGAAAUAGGUCAGAGAUGGUAAUCUCUAAAAUAGAUGUGAUUUUCCAAGUUCUUUAACAGAAAUAAAGCUUCAAACUGCUCCCUUAUGCUCAUAGGAAAUUACAGAGUCGCUUUGUGGUAAGUUUCGCAGGCGCUCCUUGGAGGGAAGAGGGAAGUCUUAAAAGGCACUCCAACCUUACAGGCAGAUCCUUGCUAGGGGUGUGAGAUAAUGAGAAUUCAGCUCACAGAAAGGUGGAAUUGAACAGACGACACAAAUUUCUUGCAGCAAAAAUGACUCUGGAGGUUCCUGAUGCGCCCAGCAGAGCUGAAAGGGCACAGUCCGUCUGCCGAUGCCUAUAAAUCACAGAGAUGCUUUCCAGCCAGGGCAGGCUGUGCUGAUGUGACGGAUGCUCUCCAGACCGUCAGUGGGAUGGUUCUCAUGGUGAUGAGAUGCGAAUGUUGCCGGGGUCAUGAGAAUCUUGAAUUUCUCCGACUCGCCUCUACUCCUAGCAGCUUUACCCGGAGCGAGGUAUCACGGCCUCAGCUUCCAUUUUUAACCUUCAGCUGCAUGAGAUUUCAAAUCUAUGAGCUGCACAUGAUGAAAUUUAGAGGCUGGCUUCUCCUCCAUCUGUAAUCAUCUUCCCAUUGCUUUCCCAGCUUUUUACUUUUCACUUAUGUAAUGCUAGUUUUCAUUCUGUCAUUGAGCUGUAUGCACUAAAAAGCUGGUUCUCUCUUUUUUGCCAUCACAUGUAUCUCUCUGUAAGACAUGUCUCAUGUGAGAAAAAUGAUCCACUAACAACGUAAGAUGUCUCUUGCUUUAAUGGGGUAGGGAGAAAUGAAAGAUAAAUGCCAGGUUGUGAUUUGAUAAUGGACUGGAUACUAGAAUUAAUGAGCACGUUCUUGAACCAGAGCAGCCCCUGCCUGGGCCGACUACCUGGGCAGAACAUGACUGACAUGAGGCAGACUUCCCCCAGUCGAAAACCUGUAGGUUUCCAGUUUUCUAGGAUCAGCUGCCACUUGCUCUAAGCAAAUGUGGACAUUUGCUACAGCUGUAAACUGCCUUGAGGACCAGGAAAAUAUUUAUAGAUUGCUGCAGACUGAUUCAAUCCCGGAGAAAGGUCAGUCUGCAAAAAUUUUAUUUUGUAUUUUUCUAAAUCAUCUGGCAGAGAAUAGCUGUGUCCUGAGGCAUAGACAUGAGCUCCAGGGCUUGGGAAGAGUGUCGUCAUCUUUUAUUAAUAUUCUUGGUUUUCAUCUAUUAAUAUUCUUGGUUUUCUGUGGCUCUCUUUCAAGUCUGGUCAGAUUGAUACUCUGGACCGAUGCUUAUUUAUUGGGGAAUAUGAACCUAUUUUAAACUAGUUGCACUCACCCAGUCUUUAAGGGAAAAGAAUGUGACCAUUACUCAAGAAGAUAUUUUAAGGCUUUUAGGUUGGAGCUUUACUCAAAACCACAAAUGCAGUUGGAAAAUGACUUAGGAAAGGAUGGAAUGUGGUGGGUGACCCAUUUUGUUGGUUUGCUACAUCAAUUCAGAAGAAAUACAUUGUAAAUACCAAGUAUUAACAUAAGAUCAUGAAGGGUUAGGCCUAUAUUUAGCUGUUAGAAUAAGGCUGCUUACAGUUUUGUCAGUUGCACUCCUUAUUAAAAACACAGCUGGGGUCACCGCAUAGCCUCUGAAUGUCAAGAGGCGUGCUGGUUGAAUGUGUUUCCUAAUAGAUUGACCAGGAUAUCUCCUUCAGAUGCUGAGGCAAUACUAACACAUCCUAAUACACACACCCAGCGUUUUAUGGUUAGGUUUAAAUUUUAUUUUGUUGGCUUUUUAAACUUUUUAUGAUAUUUCAGUUCAAUAAAUUUAAGUUAAUGGGUUAGAUUGAAAAAAGCAAAUCUAACUACUUAGUGAUUUAUAGGUACAUAUUACUUGGCAAACUUAAGGUAAGUUUAUACUUUGCAUAGCCAGUUUUGAGAAGAUGAAUCCUACUUUGGAUAUUCUUGAAAAAGGCUAAAACUUGAUUUGAAGAAAGUUGGUUUGCUAUAAGGGAAUCUAUAAUUAAAAGCAAGUAAAACAUGCCUAGGAAAGAAAAGUCUUAAAAUUCUCAGGAGACCUGAAAUCACUUUGAUGCUAUCUGUAAAAAUGUUUCUGAAGAGUCCUUUUGAAUUUUAUGGUGCUAGGCUUGAUGAGAAAACAGUAGAACUCAGGUUAUAUUAGUGCUGGGUCAUGUCAAAUAAUAUAUGAUAAGAUAUAACAAUAAUAUAUAACAAGAUUAGUUACUAGACUCCUUGGCUUCUAUGAACUUUGGAAAUUUUUAUGCUACAUAGUACAGAAAAUGUCUAAAUGCAGUGAUUAUGGUCAUUUCUAUAAAAAGUUAGGCAGUUGAACCUUGAACUUGAGUGUAGUCUCCAAUUAUAAAAUAUUCAUCUUGCUUAAUUUAUGCUUAUAGAUGCUUCCUUAGAAAAAGCAAGUUCCUAGAAGGACACAUCCAUCAAAACUCAGUCAAGAAGAAAUAGAUAAUUUGAACAGAUAAAUCACUAGAAGUGAAAUAGAAUAUGUAAAUUAAAAACAAAACCCAAAACACCUCCCUGCAAACCAAAGUCCAAGACCAGAUGGCAUCACUGGAGAAUUCUACCAAACAUAAAAGAAAACCUUAAACAAUCGUUCUCAAACUUUUCCAAAAGAUUUAAGAGGAGGGAACAGUCCCAAAACAUUUUAUGAAGCCACCAUCAUCCUGAUACCAAAACCAAAGACACUACCAAAAAGGGAAAUUAUAGUCUAAUAUGUUUGAUGAAUAUAGAUAUAAAAAUUCCCAACAAAAUAUUAGUGAACUGAAUCUAACAACAUAUAAAAAGGAUCAUACACCACAGUCAAUUUGGAUUCCUCCCAGUGUCACAAAAGUUUUACCAUAUGCAGAUCAAUUAGUAUGAUACACCACAUCAACAAAAGAAAAGAUAAAAACCAUAUGAUCAUCUCAGUAGAUGCAGAAAAAGCAUUUGAUGAAAUUCAUUAUCGAUUCAUGAUAAAAACUCUUACCAAAGUGGGUAUAGAGGGAACAUAUCUCAAAAUAAUAGGUUAUUUAUGACAAAACCAUAACCAGCAUAAUAUUUGACAGUGAAAAGCUGAAAGCCUUGCUGAUACAUUCUGGAGCAAGACAAGGAUAUUCACUCUCACAGCGUCUAUUCUAUUGGAAGUCCUAGCCACAGUAAU